rnacentral:rRNA from 1 species
CGAAAGCCUGACGGAGCAAUACCGCGUGAGGGACGAAGGCCUGUGGGUUGUAAACCUCUUUUGUUGGGGAAGAUAAUGACGGUACCCAACGAAUAAGCAUCGGCUAACUCCGUGCCAGCAGCCGCGGUAAUACGGAGGAUGCAAGCGUUAUUCGGAAUUAUUGGGCGUAAAGCGUCCGCAGGUGGUAUUUCAAGUCUGCUGUCAAAGACCGAAGCUUAACUUCGGAAAGGCAGUGGAAACUGAAAAACUAGAGUACGGUAGGGGUAGAGGGAAUUUCCAGUGUAGCGGUGAAAUGCGUAGAGAUUGGAAAGAACACCAGUGGCGAAGGCGCUCUACUGGGCCGUAACUGACACUCAGGGACGAAAGCUAGGGGAGCG